rnacentral:ncRNA from 2 species
AUUAUAGUUGUGUAAAAUGGUUCUUUUAAUAAAAAGAGUAAUUAGAGAAAGGGGUUAGAUUCCCCUACGGUCCCGCCACUGUAUAAAAAUUAUGUUUUUAAGUCAGACAUCUAACCAUUUACCGCCCUAAAAA